UACGUAGGUGGCAAGCGUUGUCCGGAUUUAUUGGGUUUAAAGGGUGCGUAGGCGGUCAAGUAAGUCAGCGGUGAAAUCCGGCAGCUCAACUGUCGAUGUGCCAUUGAUACUGCAUGACUUGAGUACUGAUGAGGUAGGCGGAAUUGACGGUGUAGCGGUGAAAUGCUUAGAUAUCGUCAAGAACACCGAUAGCGAAGGCAGCUUACUAAGCAGUAACUGACGCUGAUGCACGAAAAGUGUGGGGAUCAAACAGG
rnacentral:rRNA from 1 species